UGAAUUAAGAGUUUGAUCCUGGCUCAGGACGAACGCUGGCGGCGUGCCUAAUACAUGCAAGUCGAGCGGAUAGAUCUUCGGAUCUAUGAGCGGCGGACGGGUGAGUAACACGUGGGUAACCUACCUUUUAGAUGGGGAUAACGCCUGGAAACGGGUGCUAAUCCCGAAUGGGAUCUUUCUUCGCAUGAAGAGAGAAGGAAAGGCGCUGCAAGGCGUUGCUAAGAGAUGGGCCCGCGGCGCAUUAGCUAGUUGGUGAGGUAACGGCCCACCAAGGCGACGAUGCGUAGCCGACCUGAGAGGGUGACCGGCCACACUGGGACUGAGACACGGCCCAGACUCCUACGGGAGGCAGCAGUAGGGAA
rnacentral:rRNA from 1 species